UACGGAGGGUGGCAAGCGUUGCUCGGAAUUAUUGGGCGUAAAGGGUAGGUAGGUGGUCUCAUUUGUCUGGGGUGAAAGCCUUGAGCUUAACUCAAGAAGUGCCCCAGAAACGGUGAGACUCGAGUCUUUGGAGAGGGUCGUGGAAUUCCCGGUGGUAGCGGUGAAAUGCGUAGAGAUCGGGAGGAACACCAGAGGCGAAGGCGGUCUGCUGGGCCGUUGCUGACGCUGAGGCGCGACAGCGUGGGGAGCAAACAGG
rnacentral:rRNA from 1 species